AUGUAGGCCCAGGGACAGUGAUCAAUGCAAAGAGAUGUGUGGCACUGUGUGUGUGUAUACUGUAUGUGUGCGCACGUGCAUGCGUGUUAGUAGUAGUGUAGUGAAGAGAGGGGAUUUUAAUCCACUUUUUCCAUUCAGCCGCGGCACACGACGUAAAGGCAGAGAGAAAGACAAAGGGAAGCGGCUGCCAGCCUAGAUCAGAGGACUUCAACCACACAACCAGCCAUUCAAUCUGAGAGAGCUACAGUGCCUUCGGAAAUGUUUUUUCCGGCGUCCUGGAACGCACCCUGUCUGGUUGCCGGGCAAUGUAGCCAG